AAUCUACCCUUUGGACGGGGACAACCGCGAGAAAUCGGGGCUAAUACCGGAUAUGCUCACAGGAACUCAUGUUCCAGGGAGAAAAUCAGGCAACUGGCCAUAGGAAGAGCUUGCGUCCGAUUAGCUUGUUGGUAGGGUAAUGGCCUACCAAGGCGACGAUCGGUAGCUGGUUUGAGAGGACGACCAGCCACACUGGGACUGAGAUACGGCCCAGACUCCUACGGGAGGCAGCAGUAGGGAAUAUUGCUCAAUGGGCGAAAGCCUGAAGCAGCGACGCCGCGUGGACGACGAAGUCUUUCGGGAUGUAAAGUUCUUUCGGUGGGGAAGAUAAUGACGGUACCCACAGAAGAAGGCCCGGCUAACUACGUGCCAGCAGCCGCGGUAAUACGUAGGGGCCAAGCGUUGUCCGGAUUUACUGGGCGUAAAGCGCAUGCAGGCGGCAUGUUAAGUCAGGUGUUAAAUCUAGAGGCUCAACCUCUAGUCGCACCUGAUACUGGCGUGCUAGGGUCUGGGAGAGGGAAGCGGAACUCACGGUGUAGCGGUGAAAUGCGUAGAUAUCGUGAGGAACACCAGUGGCGAAGGCGGCUUCCUGGCCCGGUACUGACGCUCAGAUGCGAAAGCGUGGGUAGCGAACGGGAUUAGAUACCCCGGUAGUCCACGCCCUAAACAAUGUUCAUUAGGUGUAGGAGGUAUCGACCCCUUCUGUGCCGAAGCUAACGCGUUAAAUGAACCGCCUGGGGAGUACGGCCGCAAGGCUAAAACUCAAAGGAAUUGACGGGGGCCCGCACAAGCAGUGGAGCAUGUGGUUUAAUUCGACGAUACGCGAAAAACCUUACCAGGUCUUGACAUCCAUAGGAAUCCUGAUGAAAGUCGGGGGUGCCUUUCGGGGAACCUUUGGACAGGUGGUGCAUGGCUGUCGUCAGCUCGUGUCGUGAGAUGUUGGGUUAAGUCCCGCAACGAGCGCAACCCGCGUCCUAUGUUGCCACUCCUUUAUUGGAAGCACUCAUGGGAGACUGCCUGCGAUAAGUGGCAGCGAAGGCGCGGACGAGGUCAAGUCAUCAUGCCCCUUAUGGUCUGGGCUACACACAUGCUACAAUGGCUGGUACAAAGGGAAGCCAACUCGCAAGAGGGAGCUAACCCCAGAAAACCAGUCUCAGUUCGGAUUGCAGGCUGCAAUUCGCCUGCAUGAAGUUGGAAUUGCUAGUAAACACAGAUCAGCACGCUCUGUUGUAUACGUUCCCGGGCAUUGUACACACCGCCCGUCACACCAUGAAAGC
rnacentral:rRNA from 1 species